rnacentral:rRNA from 1 species
AACGAACGCUGGCGGCAGGCCUAACACAUGCAAGUCGAACGCUCCGCAAGGGGAGUGGCAGACGGGUGAGUAACACGUGGGAAUCUUCCUAUUGGUAUGGAAUAGCUCAGGGAAACUUGGGGUAAUACCGUAUAAGCCCGAGAGGGGAAAGAUUUAUCGCCAAUAGAUGAGCCCGCGUCUGAUUAGCUAGUUGGUGAGGUAAUGGCUCACCAAGGCGACGAUCAGUAGCUGGUCUGAGAGGAUGAUCAGCCACACUGGGACUGAGACACGGCCCAGACUCCUACGGGUGGCAGCAGUCGAGAA